ensembl:lncRNA novel transcript
UGGGAAGCUCCUGGCUUUCUGGAGCCAGAGGAUGUUCAGGAGGAAAGCCCACUCAGCCGAGGGUGAGGCCACAGCUGGGAGGAUGACUCGCACUGGAUCCAGAAAGAAAACAAAUGGUCCCAGAAAUAUGGUGAGCUUCGCCGUUGAUGUCUCUCCUCUAGUCGAAUAUGGAAGACUGGAUCACCAGAUCUCCCAAUUUGCUUUUCCUCUUGUUUUUCGGCCUCUUUCAGCUUGCUCUCUGCACUGAUGCUCUCUGCAUGAUACAUAUGGUGCAUUUUGAAUACAUACUGCAAAGAAAAUAACAGCUUCUCCACCAGCUUAAUGCAAACACAAGCCUUUGCAUACCAAAUGACCUGACAGGCAUAUAGCCAUGUAAAUGUACUCCCAUAGCAUAUUUUCCUGUUUGAAUUCUUCUCUACUAAAACUUCAUGCAUAAUUCUCCAUUCAAUACACCUAAUUUAUCUUUCUUGCUCCAUUUUUCCUCAACUGCUGAAAAAAUAGUCAAGUAGAAAACGACCCACGUCAUGAAUUUCCUUAGGAGAUUGGGAUAUCCUAUAUGAUAACUUGCACAGAAGUUAAUAUUUUUUUCUUACUGACAUGGCCAUAUCAUGUAUCUGACACUACUCUUAUAGUUUAAAUCAAAAUAAUAAAAAUACCUGUAGCAAAUUUAA